GGGCCAGUGGCGCAAUGGAUAACGCGUCUGACUACGGAUCAGAAGGUUCCAGGUUCGACUCCUGGCUGGCUCG
rnacentral:tRNA from 1 species